UUUUUCUCCUUCUCCCUUGCUCUACAAUCUGGCCUCAGUUUCUGCGCCACCAGCGACCUCUUGGGGGCCCCGCUGACUUCCCUCUUGUAAACAGUGCUCGGGCAGGAAGAAGCACGACUUCUUUAACUGUAUCUGUAUUUUAUAUUUUUUAUUUUUUUUUCAUUUCAGAAACUUGAUUCUCCUUCUGUAUCCUGAGCGGCUACAAAAAGCCGGUAAAAGGUACUUGGGUAUAUAUUCCAGGCUUCACUGAGAUGGUCAAAGAGCAAGUGGAGUGAAUUAAAAUUAAACAUGCCCCAUGGGGCCAGGCUCAGCACCCCGACUCCUGGAAGAGAAAGGGAAGAGGACGCUCUCUUCUUGCUCACCCUGACUCUUCAGCUACUCCACAGAGCUGCUCCUCCACGUAGCAACCAGAGAGGCAAGACUCAAGGAGGUCCUUCCUCUAGCAGAGAUGAAGGGGAAGAGCCCUUACAUACCCCAUUUCCCUUCAUUCCAUGGGAAACCUCUGGGCCUGAAAGAAAACCCCCCAAGGUAGAAAGACCUCAUCCCACACAGAUCUGGCAAUGGAGGUGGGCGAUGCACGAAAGGGCUGCUCUCAUCAGCUACACUUUCAGUAAGAAUCAUUUGUUGCUGUAUAGAGAAGCUGCACCACCCGAGGCUAAAGUGACUUGCCCAAGGACACAGAGCUCCUAGGAAUUGGGUUGGGAGUCACACUCAUCAUAUCUGUCCCACCCUCAAGCCCACUAUCCUAACCACUGCACUGCACUAUCUCCCAGCCAGGAUCCUUUUCCCAUAAUUUGCACAGCGAUUGCAGGAAAAGAUAUAGCUCACUGAGCCCAGGCCACUUUGAGAAACGGACACCUUGAGUUUUGGUGCCCUCAUCUCUGGCUCCUCUCAUUCCAAUAGCAGAGGACCAGUGGCAAGGAAGAAUCAGCAGCCAGGACCUCUAUGAAGACUGUUUUCCUGAAAACCUUUUUAAAGAUGAAAAUAAAAACCGUAAGAAUAAUGAAUAUUACCUAUGGGAGACCUGGUCUGGGAAGGCUCCCUGGAAGAGAAGACACAUGAACUAGAUUGCAGGUGUCCCAGAAUAUAAAAUCCUAGGAAAUAUGUUUAAAUAUGCAGAUUCCCGAGUCAGUUCUGCCCACCCCUACUCUAAGAGUCUGACCCACUAGGGUCAGGAGGCCCUCAGCAAAUUCACAGAGACACUUCAAAACCUGCAGGAAAUCAGCAUUUGUGAAGGAGGAAGCAGAAGAAAGCAAUGAGCAACAAACAGAUAAAAGAACUCCAGAAGAACCAAAGGUACUUAUCUGAAUGUUCUGCAAGACAGUUUGAAAACAGCAGCCAAAACUAGGAGGGGCUGGUUUCACACUAUCAUAGCAGAUGAUGAGCUCUUAAGUCACUGGAGUAGUCUGGACCUCUAAGUUCUCAAAAAUAACUAGCAAAAACUUCCUUCGAGGACCAUACCCCUCAACGAGGUGAAAUUCUUGGCAACCAAAUCACAACUAUUCAGGAGAUGGUUUGAAGAGUCAAAGGAAAAAGGGAAGUCUGUAUAAAGAUAGG